UGUAUUUAUUAGAUAAAAAACCAAUGCCCUUCGGGGCCUUUUGGUGAUUCAUGAUAACUUUACGGAUCGCAUAGCCUUGCGCUGGCGACGGUUCAUUCAAAUUUCUUCCCUAUCAACUUUCGAUGUUUGGGUAUUGGCCAAACAUGGUUGCAACGGGUAACGGAGGGUUAGGGCUCGACCCCGGAGAAGGAGCCUGAGAAACGGCUACCACAUCCAAGGAAGGCAGCAGGCGCGCAAAUUACCCAAUCCCGACACGGGGAGGUAGUGACAAUAAAUACUGAUACAGGGCUCUUUUGGGUCUUGUAAUUGGAAUGAGUACAAUUUAAACCUCUUAACGAGGAACAAUUGGAGGGCAAGUCUGGUGCCAGCAGCCGCGGUAAUUCCAGCUCCAAUAGCGUAUAUUAAAGUUGUUGCAGUUAAAAAGCUCGUAGUUGAAACUUGGGCCUGGCUGGCGGGUCCGCCUCACCGCGUGCACUCGUCCGGCCGGGCCUUCCUUCUGAAGAACCUCAUGCCCUUCACUGGGCGUGCUGGGGAACCAGG
rnacentral:rRNA from 1 species